AAGGUACACUCCGUAUUAAGUAAUUUCACAGUCCGAUUUCCGUUUGUGGCGCUAGUUACAUACUAUAUGGGGUGGGGUCGGAUUGCGAUUUGCGAAGCCCAAUUUUUUCGCAAUUAAAGCUCAUACCUUGUACGCCUUUUCAGUUUUCAAUGUGUCCCCUUUGAGAAUUUGUUGAAGAAGUUGAGUUUCGAUCCAUUUUCUUAAAAUUCCAAUCGAUCCCUUCGAUCAAACAAUUACUCGACUAGAUUGUUGUGUGGCUGAUCUGAUUGGUUGAAUCAACCGCAUCUGUCAAAUCAACGGAAGCCAUGGAUGAUGAUUAUAGUUUUAUGGUUAAAGCUUUGAACCAAGUGAUAGGCAAUUCAGGGGAACCAACGUUGACAAGCUCUGCACGAAAUAGCAGAUACAUGGGUGUGAGUAGGACUAGGAGUGAGUACUUUGGGGGCCCAUGGGUAGCCAAGAUUCGUGAUGUCUGUCUUGACACCUAUGACACGGAAGAGGAAGCUGCUUUGGCGUUUGAUCAUGCGGCAUUUAGGUUAAGAGGUCGAAAUGCUAAGCUUAAUUUCCCCAAUUGUAGUUCUAAAGGUGAAUUAAUGUCUCCUGACUGUCCUUUAUCAACAUUUGAAAAGCUUUUUAAAGGUUGGUCGGAUGCUAAGGAUUCUGGCAGUGUGUCGUGUUCGGGUGGUUUGGGCAGUUGGCAGAGUAACAAGGAAGAAUCUGACAUAUUUCAAUCCCAAGGUGGAGCUCAUGCCUUCCAACAUUAUCCAAAUGUGGAACUUGAUUGGGAUGCUAUAAUGCACCAAGACCGUGUUGCAGUGGAAAACCAAGGUAUUACAAGCCUUGUUUCGGUCUACAGAAUGAUAUUUAUAAACAUUUCUAGUAUGUUAUGUUCCCUGUUCAGUAUUUUUGAUUUACUACUUGAGGACCCAAAUAUAUGAUUUAUAAUUUAUUUCCUGUAAAUUAGUCUAGUGGUUGAAAAGCAGAUGGUGGAUGCAAUCAUCAGCUGGGUGAUUACAAAACCUACGAAAAAUGUGCAGAUAAAAUAAAUAAUGUAAUUCUGAACAGUGGUGUGUUUUACUUGAUUUUGUAUGACGAUAAUCUAAUUGACUCUCUUAUCAGUUCAAUCUUUGGAGAUGUCAAGCUACUUGUCAUCUUUCCAUAAUUGCAAGUCAUGGAAUAAUUUAAUUUUAACACUAAAGAGGCAGCACAUGAUUUUAUCCUUUCUCAUAAUAUUGCACGCACUUGAAUGCUGCGUGUCAAAUGCAAUGGUGGAAGGUAUGUUUCAACAUCAGUCAAGCGAAACAUUUUUUUUGUGAUGAUACCAAUAUAUAGAUUAUGCUACUUUUCCGACUAUAUAACAGCUUGUCAGCUCAUACCAUAAGCAGAAGUUGGUUUUUGUUUAAUUUGGUUACUUAUUAGUGAGCUUUUCGGAAGACCAUUAGAAGAUGCAGCAAAGAGCUUUGGUGUUAGUCGAUCGACACUCAAACGCAAGUGUAGAGGUCUUGGUAUUAAAGACUGGCGACGAGGCAAGCAAAGCAUAAAAGGAAACAUGUCAUCUAAUCUUAGGAGAAGAUCAAGGGACGAUGAACAAGCUGAAAAAAACUUUCAUUCGGGUUUGCCUCCCGGAGAAAAAGCACCUGCUGUUGAUCAUAUAAGCCAAACCUUGAAUGAGGUGACUGUAAGGGCAAUGUACAAUGGUGUGACUAUAAGGUUUGAUUUAUCUGAUUCAUCAGGGAUUGCAGAGCUAGAAAAUAAUGUGAUCGAGAGGUUGCACUUGGAGAGGGAGAGUUUCAGUAUCAAGUACCAAGAUGAUGAGGUCAUUUGGAUAUUGAUCGCUUGUGACAAGGACGUGCGGAAAUGCAUCGAAAUCUCACGGUCAUUAAAGAGAACAUCAAUCACGCUGUUGGUUGAUCCUCCGAUCAAUCAUCAUAAACAAUAGAAGUACAUGGUUAAGGACGUCGGAAAUGUAAUGAAAUCUCACGAUCAUUGCAUAUUUGUGCGACGACUUGCUUGUCGAUGGAUCCCACCAUUAUUCUCACUUUUGUUGUUUUUAAUUAUAUUCACUCAGCAUGUUUCUACAUUAUUUAUUCAGUGUUUGGUCGCCGUGUCCAGCCCAUUUGUUAACUAAUGACCUGGACGGAGGAAGUAACUAAUUAAGACUUUGAUAUUUGUGGUU